AAAUGGUCCAGAGAGGCUGAAGUUGUUAGAGUGGUCCUAAUUAACUCUAAUUGGUUGACUAAGACUUAACCAUAACUCGAUCGAGUCUCAAGCCAAGGCUUCUCCACAAGCAUCUAAGUUUUGCUUUCCAUAAGGAAUAAGAAGAGAGAGAAGAAAGCAACUACCAUUCAUUCAUUGAUGUUGUCGUAUUCUUGACAACAACAUCUGCCCA
rnacentral:lncRNA from 1 species